rnacentral:rRNA from 1 species
UCUCAACUUUAUUAGAAGAGACGCAUUUAUUAGAUAAAAAGCCAGUUCAUGCUUUUACAGUAUGAAAAUUGGUGAUUUAUAAUAACUUAGCAAAUCGCAAAGUGAAAACAGGCGAUAAAUCAUUCAAGUUUCUGACCUAUCAGCUUUCGACGGUAUGGUAUUGGCUUACCGUGGCAGUGACGGUUAACGGGGGAUUAGGGUUCGAUUCCGGAGAGGGAGCCUGAGAAACGGCUACCACAUCUAAGGAAGGCAGCAGGCGCGCAAAUUACCCAAUUCUAACAGUUUGAGAGAGGUAGUAACAAGAAAUAACAAUACAAGGCAGUUAAAAUGCUUUGUAAUUGGAAUGAUAGAAAUUUAAACCCUUUUUAAAGUAUCAAUUGGAGGGCAAGUCUGGUGCCAGCAGCCGCGGUAAUUCCAGCUCCAAUAGCGUAUAUUAAAAUUGUUGCAGUUAAAAAGCUCGUAGUUGAAGUUCUGCUGAAAGUAACCGGUCUGCUUUUAAUAAAAGUGGUAUCUUGGUAUGUAUUUAGCAAUGAUGUCCUUUGAAGUGUUUUUUACUUUAUUGUAAUAAAGCAUAUUCAGGACUUUUACU